AGUGUGUGUGUCUGCGUGUGUGUGUGUGUGUGUGUGUGUGUCGUCCGUCGCAGUGCAAAGCGCAUGUGCCGUGCGCGCACAUGUGGCACGGCAGCCGACCGGGACGCGACCGCGCUGAAGUGCUCCCGACUUGGAUCCCUGCAUAUGAUUCCCCUCUCCUAUCUUCAUCACAUCCAUCCCUAAUGGAGCCUCUCUCCUCGUCCUCCUCCUCCUCAGCACCGUGGAUUUAAGCAGCAGCUUCCUCAGCAUGGAAUGAAGCAGGCCGUUCCUGGAUACUCCUCACUGAAGACUCCGGUCUUUUUGCAGGGCUCUGGCAGUGCCCCUCCUGUUCCUCCGUCCUGCAAGGCGAAGGCUUUGUUGCUAUGGACCGGCUCAUCAUGUCUCGCUCCAUUCACCAACGCCACGUUGCACCACAUACUGUCCAGGAGUUGACGAAUGCUCGAGUCCAGGUCUGGGAGGAGAUCCCUCAGGAGACCGUCCGCCACCUAAUCAGGAGCAUGCCCAGGCGCUGUAGGGGGGCCUAACAGGCACGUAGAGGCCACACGCACUGCUGAGCCUCAUUUUGGCUUGCUUUAAGGACCUUACAUCAAAGUUGCAUCAGCCUGUAGUGUGUUUUUCCACUUUUUGAGAGUGACUCCAAAUCCAGACCUCCAUGGGUUAAUGCAUUUGAUUUCUUUUGAUAGUUUUUGUGUGAUUUUGUUGUCAGCACAUUCAUUUAUGUAAAGAACAAAGAAUUUAAUAAGAAUAUUUCAUUCCUUCAGAUUUAGGAUGUGUUAUUUUAGUGCUCCUUUUAUUUUUUGGAGCAGUACAAUUCAGGAGAACAGACUAUUUGUAAUGUAGUGUUUCACCCUGUAUCAACAGAAAAUCAACUUUAAAACACAUCUCAAUUUGAAGCUAAAGGGAAAGAAAGAAAUAGGGUUAUAUUUAACGAUGCACUUGUACUUUAUAUAAUAUCGCUAUCAUCCAAACAAGCAUAUUCAGCUUUUCUUUUUAAGUACAUUGAAUUUGAUCUAAUCAUUAGCAGCAAGCUUGGGGAGCAAUGCGUUUAAUUAAUAUCCAUUACACCUAACUGCUCGGUGGGCUGAGUAGAAAACCCUGAGGAACUCCUUCACAGAUUGAUGUACGCACAAAAUGCUCCAAACCAAACUGGCACAAGAGAGGUAUCUUGCACUCUAAACACACCAAACCACUCAUGUUUGAUUAAAGUUGAUUUUCGUAUAAUUAAGUCUCGCUCUGUAUGAUGAAUAUGAGAAGUGCGAGUGAUAUGAACUUGCCUAAAACGAAUAGUGCAUCAUUAGCAUGUGCUGAUCAGACAGCGGGCGCUUCCGCAUGAAAAACUGCUGCUCCGGCUUUUGUUUCCCCAGUUCUCUCAUCACUUGGCGCUCUGAUUGCACAUCAACAACAAUUUGUCUCCGGCCGCAGUUGGCAGGCCUCGUUAGCAUCCACUAAUCAUACUCUCGCGUCUCUUAUGCAGCCUGAAUUAUUAUAUCAUAUAGAAGGCACUUUGACUUCUGAAGGUACUCAGUGUGGUCGUGUCCGUUUUUUCAUGUGUGAGCCACGUUGAGGCACUCGCUAAGGACGUUAUGUUGGGUCGCUUGCCUUCUUUGAAGAUUUGCUGUAUUACCUCAUUUAGAGCUGCCUUUCUGUGUUUAUUUCAUAAAAGAUGGCACUCAGUUGGACCAGUCCUAUUAUCCUAGCAUCGUAUCGUAGUGUAUUGUAGUGUAGUAUUAGGGUAGUUUCGCACUUUUUGUCUGACACCUGUAUGAUUACAGGAAUGCCGACAGAUACUAUGUGAGAUCCCACUUUGAUGAUGUUAUAAGCUAGUCCACUAGUCAGACAUGGGGAAUUUUUGAAAGUCCUGUACUUUCAUCCCUUGUUUAUUGUGGAUAAUUGGUUGCAGACCCGACCACGAUAAGUGAAUUUCCGCAAAGUAGGAUUCAAUAUUAAUAAACGGAAUAUUGUCAUAGUUUGAGCAUAGAAAACCUGUUUAUGACUUUCAUGAAAUAACACCACAAAAGACACUUUUACACUUCUAUUAUUCUUUGUUUACAUCACAUUGCGCAGGCCAUAGGAUCUGGAAAGUAACAGAUAGCCGGCGCUAGCAUAGCAAGUUACCGAGCUAGCUAGUUAACUUCUCCAUUUUACUUAUUCUAAACUUAAAGUAUUUCAAACUGAGUGGGGAAGAAAGACAAAGAAGCCAAAAACCUACCAGUUCUUCAUGGAAUUAGAGGAGAACCCUUUUUUCCACUCAAUGCCGUGGUAUGUCCGUCUCAGCCAUGGCAUGUCCGUCUUAGCCAUGGCAUGUCCGUCUCAGCCAUGGCAUGUCGGCUCGGCUCUGCUGGCUCAGUAGCCAUAAGAUUUUGACUUUAUUUCCCACAAUAUUCUAACUUUUUCCCCAACUUAUUGUCCAAAAAUGACAACUUUAUUUAGUUUUGUUUGUUUCUCAUAAUAUUACAACUCUUCAUCAAUGUAAAGUCGGGGCAUGUUUACUCUAAUGCACAAAAAAAGCCAUGUCAGCAUGCUUGAAAGCAGCAAUGUUAUGUGUGCCAUUGCACACAUUAAAUUAGACUUAUCUAAUGUGGAAAUAACAGCACAUAAUUGUUACGUCGUCUGUCAGCAACAAGCCAAAGCUCUGUCUUUACCAUCCACACGAAUAUGCUGAAACCGGAGUUCUCAAAAAUCUUUUUCCAAAAGCUCUGUUUUUAAGAACAAAAACAUCCGUAUGCAUGUGGAUGAGAGGCCAAAAUGCAUAAAAAAUUAUGCAGUUUUAAAAUAUCCGUAUUCAUGUAGACGGGGCCCCCAGUUGUCUUUGUAAAUUGAUGUUUACAUUGUAAAUUUUCAUUGGUACAGCAGUGAUAGGAGUAGCAGAUACUGGCACACAGGCCUAGAGCGCCCUCUUGCGGCUGUCACUGUAAAAAAAAAAAACAUAUAUAAAUCGCACAAGUCGCAGGACCAGCCAAACCAUGAAAAAAAGUGUGACUUACUGUCCGGGAAAUGCGGGAAUUAUUUAAAAAUGUAUUUAUUUUUUAUUUUAAAAAUUAAGAAAAUUACAAAAAUAAAUAAAGACAAAUGGAUAAAUAAAUAAUAUUGACAAAAAGACAUAUUUGUUUAUUCUGUCCUAUUUGAUCCUCCGUAUAAACAUUGUAACUUUUGAGGGAAUUGCAAUGUGGUAUUUUGCACACCACUUCAGCAGCAGAACCAAUGUUGUAAUAAGGAGCAAACUGCUCAGCCACUAUUUAUAGCGCUGAUGAGUUGAUUGUAAACAACAGUACGGCAAGUGCAACACACAUGAGUUUCAUCAGUUUCAGCUGAGUUGCAACAUUUUAAAGCGCAUGCUGAGGCAGACAAAGCUGCUGGAUGCUGACCACUUAUGAUACUUCAAAUGCAGUUACUGCGACUAUAGGAGAGUCUGCAGUUAAUUGAAUAGCGAUGUUAAAUGGAGCAUUUAUGUUGUCUACCACCCAAUAGUGUUGUUUAUCGUCAUAAAACGCGUACAAUCAGUGAAAUGCUCCCAAGAUUGAAUCUGGUUAGUGCAACAUGACUGAAAGUUAAUUACAAACGUUUCUUCCAGACUAUAAAAAAACAACAAGCUGACUAAAUUGUCUUGACAUUAUUUAGCACGCCUCCUCGGCUAGUAUUAGUGUCGUCUCGGUGUUUGGCAAAUGAACACAAUCCCAUUCAGGCCGCAUGUGAUGUAUCGGCGCCGUGUUUGUGCAGCGUGGCCUUGCAUGCUCGGCGGCGUUGACAUCACUAUUAAAUCCUGACAUGGCUGCUGACAACGCCGCCCCCACCACUACUCCCCACCUCCGCAUCCUCACAGCUGGAGAUCAAUCAGAAGUAAUACAUAUUUAGUUCAGACCUUUUCACUGGGCUCCCUUGUGUGAUUGAUACACUGCAACACUCCCAGAGCGCUCGCUCCUUACACCUUUACUCAGUCACUCACACGCAUCGUCCUUGGAAACAUGCUCAAAUACGUCUAAAUACAGUACAACCUCUACUGACCCUUGCCAGAUGCUCCACUUUGUAUUUCAGAACAUUUGCUGUCAUAGGAAAUCAUGUAAAUAGAAAUCAUCUGUUCCAGAGUCAAGCUGUGACCACCAGAAAACCUUGAUUAACUAUACAACUUUAUCACUUCCAAUACCCAUAACGCAGCCUUGAGUAUCGGCCGAUACUGAUACUGAUCAUUCAUACUUUUAUGGCUUAUUUUGCGCUGUGGAAUGUUUGGCUUGAUCAAGUGAUAUUACUCAAACAGAGAACAAAAUAAGAAACAGUAAUUUAGUAUAAGAAAAAAAAACACUUUCUCACACUUUGUGGGUGUUUUGGUGAGGCUGUUCGUGAGGGUUGGAGUCUCAAGCAUCGAUGGGAACAGGGACAAACAUUCCGAUUCUUCCGGCAUCAUUCAAAUGUUUUUAUUUUGAUUCCUAGUAUCGAAGCCCGCUUCACCGACCAGAAGAAAUAGCCACGAACACCAAUGAGGAAGAAGCCCGUGAGCACCAGCGAAGAAGCAGCGGCUGAGAAGUUUGACUUAACUUCAUAAAAAAAAGAGCGGUUGGCUCAGUGCAACAUUUGCAACACAACGCUGUCAUGCCAAGGAGCGCAUGACCAACAUGAUUAAUGUUAACAUAUUCAUGGUGUAGAAAUAACACAGUAUCUCGUCUCUGAUGCGCUACGUUGGCCGGUUGAAAAAAAGUGGUGUCCAUACUGUACUGGAUUAGUAUAAGUUGCAUCCAGACGGGAACCAAUCACUGAGUGAAAACGAUGUAAUAAAACGAUGUAAUACACAAGGCGCAUGUGGCGCUGUGAACAAGCAACGUGACACACCAAACCACAGAAGAAGAAAAAGCGCAUGCGCAUAAGUCCGUCUUCUUCCGCUUUUCAAGACUUGUGAGCUGUGGAAUUACUUCUGUGAGUCGUUAUGGAGCACAAGACAACAAAACAUGAGAACUGGGGUGAAUCAUGUCCUUCCUUUGUCAUCAAAGCUCACUUCUGGUGACGUGAUGGCGACGAAGCGGCGGUGGGUCGGUGAUGUCAUUGUUCUCGUAUUGCCUGUAUACACGCCAACGACAAGCCAGCGUUUUCAGAUUUUCCCUCUCUGGAGGAUAAUACCGUUUCAGGUCACCGAGAAACGCCUUUCCCGUAUGGAUGAGAGGCUGAAACGAUAAAAUACUUUUGACAUUUUGACCUGAAAACGGUUCCGUGCAGAUAGCCCCUAAAUGACAUCUGUCUCAUGCCAAUGUAACCCAGGGUUUCAGGAUGCUAGCUGAUGUGGAAGUUGGGUGUAAAUAAAGGACGGCUACGGCGAGGCAAGUUUAUCAUUUUCACAGUCUCUGUUAGCAACAGUCAAGGGACCUUCUCAACUCACACAACACACUUCCGGCCUUCAAAAUAACAGCGCUGUGGGCUAUAUCCUGUCUACCUGUGUUAACAAAAUGAGGGCGUUAUGAAGAAAAAUAGCUCACGCCAACAUUGAGGCAGCAAACAAAGUAUACUAUCUUUCAAAAGUAAACAUUUUAUAAUCCAGUAAAAAGAAACUUGAUAACGUUUAUAUUCAAAUUGAAUGUUCUGAUAUUUAUAUACUGGUUGAAUAGCACCGUAAGAAAUUCAUAGUAAGGCUGAUAAAAGUACAUAUUGUUAAACAAUUCAUGUUUAAUUCAAUUCAGAAAUUUCAUCCAAAAAGAACUCUGGUGAGCGCUCUCAUUUAAACCAGGCAAACUUUUAUGACCCUGCCCUCUAAAAGCAUCGGAAUCAAGAAUCGUUAGGAACCAGAAUCAAAACGAGUAUUCGGCAUCGGAAACGUAAUUGUACAAAUUCAGACAAACUAUACUCUUUGUGCUGUUUUUCGUGGUGCUGCUUUGGAUGCGCAAUGUGGUUGGUCGUGUUGAACUUUGCAGGUUCUGUGCCAACACGGACGACUUGUGCAUGGCGGGUUUUGCUUUUGGUUGUCUUUUUUGGACUUUGACUGCUGCAUCUUAGUCAGCACACUUUGUUGAUGUUUUUGGUCGAAUUUGGCGUAUUUGAGGAUAUAUCAUUAAAAAUAAGCAUGACAUGACUGUACAUGACUGUACUUGUAUUCGUCAAACGAGUGACAAUUCUUAGGCUGAUCAUGAUUCUAAAAAUGCAUGACAUUCAAAUCUGUGAUGCAAAAUUGAUACCUAUGUGACAUACCUAUGACGUGCAUUACACCGCAUGCACAAUUAUUAGGCAAGUGAGUAUUUUGACCAUAUUGUCAUUUUUAUGCAUAUUUUCUCUAAGCUGAUUAAUCUUGAAUGCUAUGUGCAUGUGUGUACAGAGUGAAGGGGUGUGCACAAUUGUUAGGCAUCUUUUUUUCCUCUGGCAAAAUGGGCCAGAAAAGAAAUGUAACCGACUCUAAAAAGUCAAGAACUUUAAAGCAUCUUUCAGAGGGAUGCAGCACUCUUGAGAUUGCCAAGAUACAGUAGUACCUCGCAUAACGUAAACCUCCUUUUACGUAAAUUCUUUACGUAAAUUCCACUGAACGUAAAGAAUUUACGGAAAGUUUUUGCAUCGUAUUAUGUAAGAAAUUCCAUAUAACGUAAAGCGUCAAGUCGGUGCAAGUUCAGAAAUUCGAUUUGAAUAGCUCGCGCGACAGAGAGAGGGAAAUGUUUUCCAUGACUAACAGAGUACACUUGGUGACGCCUUUACGCUCUCAUUGGCUGAUUAUCGGGGCACCGGCUACGCUCUCAUCUCAUUGGCUGAUUAUCGGGGCACCGCCUAUGCUCUCAUCUCAUUGGCUGAGUAUGUGAGUUUGUGUGAGAGACAGGCUUCUCCCUUCAACCUCCAUUCGUCAUCGUAGUCACCUUUAAACUAGUUGAUUGUUUUUGUUUUUCAGUUUUAUUCAUUUACAGUAAUCUUAUUUAUUCCCUUAUUUUAUAUUGGAAUGUUACUCUACUAUGUUUAUGCUAACGUUUUCUUAUAUUUUCCCACCAUAUUUGGUGGACUUUGAAUAUUUUGAAGGGCCAAAGGUGUGAGUUUGGUAAGAUCUUGGAACGGUUUAGGCUAUUUACAUGUAUUUUACGCUUCAUAUAACGUAAAAACCCUAUAACGUAAACGUUCUCGGAACGGAUUAUUUACGUUGUAGGGGCGUCUACUGAUCAAAAGUUUUGCGCGUUGAGAGAAAAAGAUGCAAAUUAACCGCCAAAUAUUUGAGAAAAAUCAAACGUGAAGCUACCAGGAACCCAUUAUCCUCCAGUGCUGUCAAAUUCCAGAACUAUGAUCUACCAGGAGUGUCCAGAAGUACGGUACAUGGUGUUCAGUGCUGAGAGACAUGGCCAAGAUAAGAAAGGCUGGAACCCGACCACCACUGAAGAAGACACAAGUUGAAACAAGGCUACGACUAGGCCAAAAAAUAUCUGAGGACAGAUUUGUCAAAGGUUUUAUGGACUGAUGAGAGUGACUUUUGAUGGACCAGAGAGAUGGGCCCAUGGGCGAUCAGCAAUGGGUGUAGAACUCCACUCCUACUCAGACACCAGCAAGGUGGAGGUGGAGUACUGGUAUGGGCUGGAAUUAUUAAAGAUGACCUUGUUGGGCCUUUUUUGGUAGAAGAUGGACUCAACCUCAACUACUAAACCUAUUGCCAGUUUCUAGAAGGCACUUCUUCACACAGUGGUACAGAAAAAGUCAGCAUCUUUCAAGAAGACCAUGAUUUUUAUGCAGGACAAUGCUCCGGCUCAUGCAUCAAAGUACCCCACAGGGUGGCGAGCUAGUAAAGGCCGUAAAGGAAAACUGAACCUUUUUUUGGAAUUUUGCCCAUCAUCCACAAUCCUUAUGUGAGACAUGACCACAUAUUUCUUUCCCUUCUCUGUGUGUUUUACAGAGCGGAAACGAGUUAGCGUGAUGGAGAUAACAGUCAUAUGGGACCCAGCUAUUUCAAUGAUAAAGCCCUCCAAAAAAACCCUCGAACAAGGUUUCAUGCUUUCAUAUCCAGGCUGUGAUCAUGCAUUAAUAGGUACAUUCAUGAUAACAUGUAAUACUUACAGCAUUACCUUUUUCUGAUCAUUUUAAACAUUACCGGAACUUUUUUCCUAGGCGCUUUGAUUUCAUAUAGCCUAUAGGAGCUAAUGCUACUUGCAUCAACAACAACAGCAUUAAAACACAGAUGACUACUUUUGGAGAAAUGAGGAACCAGAACCUCCUUUUUUAAGCCUGACUGUAUGGAGGAUGAGUUGCAGGUUAUCAGGUAAGACGCUCCCUUACCCCCCUUAGCGCUAGUGCUAAACGUUUCAUUGAUAACAGUAUAAUGAAAACAGUCGCUUACAUUGUCUGCUCUCAUUGGGAUGGCGAUGGUGUCUUUCAGCACAAGACUUGUACUCCAGUUUUCAGGUAUAAAAUGCUGACAGAAAAACGAGCAUCUUGUUGAAUCUUCGUAGCAAAGUUGAGAGCCAGUAGUAUCCACGCUUCAGUCUUUCCCGUUGCGGUGGCAGUGACGCUGAGACUAGCAAGGCGUUGUGAAUAUGGUUAUUCGUGUUGGCUGCUACAGUAACAAUAUUGCUGUAGCUUGUUUAUAAUACAGGUCAGUUAUGUAAAUGGAACACUGUUGGUGUUUAGGUUUUUGUUUUAUGGGUCCCUUGAUAUCCAUUGUUAGCUCAGUCAUGCUAACUUGUUUUCUCUCUUUAGAACACACAGAAAAGCGCUAUGCAAGGGAAAAACCAUUUACAUAUAAACCAAGCUACAGCGAUAUCGUUAUUAUAGUAGCUAAGACAAAGAACUAUUUUUCGCAGCGCCUCAUGCCACUACCGAGAGGUAACGGGCCCACUCCAAAACAAACGCGACAGGACACCAAUCUGUACUGACUAGGAAACAAGAACAAGCAUAUGAACAACUACGAAUGGACAACCAAACAAUCUGUAAAAUAUUAGCCCACGUUCCCUGUUGCGCCACAUGUUACCUACAGACCAGUGCAGGUUUUAAAUGCACAAAACCCUUGAGCAGAUUCCAAAAGUGAGCAUAUUAUUGAUGUUCCAUCGAUGGACCGGUGGUGACCGGCGGGGCUGUAAAAACAGAGGCCGACAUUUAAUUUGCAAGCGAAAUGAGAUGAACUUUGUGUGAAAGCAGGUCACUUUGCAUCUGUAAUGGAAACGUCGUCACUGUGAUCUACAACGUAUGGGACAGACAUUCUAGGCAUGGACUGUAUCUCAUGGAGGGAGCACACAUUGGAUGGAGACGUCAACAGCGUCCAAUUAGCUGCAAAGUCAAGCAAUGCGACCGCUCGGAAGCCAACACAAGCAAACAUGACAAGCGUGAGUGUACACUACUGCUAAUACCAUGUCAGCUACUGCUGUGUGGAGCAGCAACUGUACUUCAUUGCUUUCAAGGAAACAACUUUCACCGCAUGAAAAGAGGAAGCGUUUAGUGAGUUUGAACCCUGCGGUGUCAUCACUCAACGAGGAGCUUUGGAUGUUUUUAGGCAGGAAGAAAACAACAAAUAAAAAAGCCCAAAAUAGUCGUCGAGUAUCGUCAGGAGUGAUCCAGCGCUCCCGUGAUCUCGUCGUUCCCUAAACGUUUUCGUCAGUCGAGGGUCGGCUCUGCAGUGCCUUUUGAUCCGCAAACAACAUCAAUUUACCUGCUGUGCCGAUUUUUGCGUGUGCUGUUAACAUCUGCUUAAAACGCUAAAGAUGGAGGCACAGCUGCACAGCGGCGGAGAGACGAGUCGUUCAAUGAGCCAUAAAUGAAAUGAAAACAAGGGAGGAAGGAUACACGACUAAAACCAUGUUUGUCUCCUUCCCUUCCUGACUGCUGAAUCACUUUAGCACUCUGAAGUGAAGUUUAAAAAUACUUUGACAAACUUUAAAUGUUUUACUUUGUAUGCCUGCCUCUUUAAUUCUCCGCAUGCUCUUGACAGUUUUAGGUCAGAAUUAUUCACCAACUCAGCGCCCUGUGGCGAAUUAUACAAUGUAAUUUCUUGCUGUGUAUUUCAAGAAAAAUAGAUAUUUAUUUUUGUAUAGUAUACAGUAUGUGUCACAGGAUGAGGACCUAACGAGGAUUAGUACAAGAAAUUAUGGCAUAAAAAUGAUUAAUUACAGCAAUAAAGACAGAAGCAUGUGAGAAUAAAGCCCUACUUUUACAAGCAUGAAGCAAAAAACAAGUUUGAAGUUGCGAGAGAAUGAAGUCAGAAUUUUGUGAUUUUAAGACUAUAAGGAUUAAAAGAAAGAAAAAGUCCGAAUUUGUGUUAAUAUAAAGUCAGGAUAGUACAAAAAAAAGCAAAAAACAAAGACAUUUUCUUAUGAGAGUAACAUCCUACUUUACAAAGAUCGUAUUUUCCAGACCAUAAGUCACACUUUCUUUCCUGGUUUGGCUAGUCCUGCCACUUAUACUCCGGAGUGACUUUUUUCACACGGACAGCUGCAAGAGGGCGCUCUAGGCUUGGGUGCCAGUAUCUGCUAUUCCUAUCACUCCUGUGUACCAAUGAAAAUUUACCAAUGAAAAUUUGAGCAAGACGGAACACAAAUGUCCCCAAAAAGGAAAUCAUAUUCUGGAGAUGACAAGCUGCAAGUAAACUCGUUAUGUUAUGUUGUUCAGGCUGGAGUUAUCUGAACAACUGUUAAUAUGUUGUCUUAAAGAGUCACUGCCAUGAUUUAUCAACUUUGCUUAAACAUGUUCUCUAUACUUUGUAAUUAUGUUCUACGUCGUUCGUUUUUUGAACGCGAACAGUAAAUUUCGCAAAACUGACAUUUUUGUAUGUGCCGUGUUCGAAGUGGACUGAACGCCUCAGAAAAGUGACGUUGGCGAAGGGGCAGCGCUCAUCUUAGACAGAGUAAACAAACAUGAGAGGAUGGAUGAGACAGAUGAUGUUUACAGUGAUUAUAGCAAAGAUUUGAGCGAUGUGUCAAUAGUUUGAGGAGGAAGAACCAUCUGGAGAUGAAAUAGAGAACUUGCAGAGCAGGGAAUCAAGCCGUAUUAAUUCAAACCACUGACGAUGAAACUAGCCUGUUUGAUGUGGAGGUGUCUGAUGACAAAGACGUGCAGAUGAAGAUUGCUCGGCUUCAAACACAGUAUGGUAAGUGCAAAUUAUCUUGGAGUCGCUUAUCAUUCAAUUAUUGUUUUAAAUCGGUUUCUUAAUGAGCGUGAAAGGGUCUUUAGAGCCUUUUUUAUUGUGUAUUUUGUCACAGUCGCUGCCCCGCCCCCCACGUCAACAUAUUGUUACGUAAGUAUGUUUUAUAACAUGCAUAAUGCUUUGAAUGCUUUUCGCUAUGGUGGCAUAGUGUUUACAAUAUUGUACAAUAUGUAAAUAAGACAUGACUUACUGUGUUCUGUGGCAACUUUGACGCCGUUCUCCUCCUUUUUUCCUGUGUAGCAUAGCAUCAGAAAGAGCAUCGUACCAUCCAAAAUGAGUUUAUACCGUACUUUCAAGCCAAAUGCUUCUUGUAAAGGUUCCUUCAUAGCAGUGGUCAGUGAAAUGAACGGGAGGCGGUGGUACAUUUGUCCCUUGUCUGUGUACUUGCUUCCUUCACUGUAGUCUUGGUCUUUUGGAAAAGAAUAACAGACUUACAGUGUCACACGGACACUGUGAACAGCCAGCGGCAACACAACAUUUUGGCAUGACUACUAUUUUGAUGAAAAAUAUACAGUAGCUGCCGCUAGAAGGGGUUGUUGCUAGGCGUUAGCUGAGAGCUGCGCCUUUGCCGACGUCACUUGGGAAACGCCCCUUUUCUAAGCCGUUCAGUCCAUAAUGGCGCCUGCCACAUACAAAAAUUAAAUUUUUACAAAUUUACCGUUCGCUUUCAGAAAACCAACAACGUAGAACAUAAAUACAAACAAUAUAGCACAUAUUUAAGCAAAGUUGAUAGAUCAUAUCAGUGACCCUUGAACAAUAUUCACGUUACAAUAACAGACGCCUAUUUAGUCUGUUGUUCUCCAUUUUAUUAUGACUAUAAUAUUGUUAUGUAUGUAUGUUAUUACUAUAACUUGCCUUUCAAGAUGAAAUGUCUGUUCUUGGUGUCUGAUUUUAUAAAAUAAUUUUCCCCCAAAAAUGCGAAUUAUGUAUGUUUUUUUUCCUCUUCAUUGUGCAUUUUUGGCUGACGCGACUAAUACUCCGACUCAGAAUUAUGUGAAUAUAGAGUCGUAAGCUGUAAUUAAAAACAAAAACUGUAGUUUUGAGAAUAUAUAGUUUGGAUACUAGAAGAAUAAAAUCAUGAUUUUGUAGCAAAAAAACCAUUAAGGUCAAUUGUCAUAUGGAAAAAGGGCGUCAUAUUGGGAGGGAAAAAGGUUUAAUAUUUUGAGAAGACAUAUUAGGACACUAAUGUUGGAGUUUUACAAAAACAAAGCUGCAGCAUUACGACAGAGUUAUGAUUUUAGGAGAAAGACGCUGAGAUAUCAGGCAAACAUUUCGUAAUGAUAUGAGAAUGAAGACCAUGUUAGGAGAAUUAUAAGAAUAAAGUCCUAAUAUUAAAGUCAUCAUUUUACAACAAUAAAGUCAUAGAAUGAUGAAACAUUUUAAUUUUAAUUGAGAAAGUCAUAAUAUUCUGAGAAAAAAAAGUCAUCUUCCAAGAAUAAAUUCAUGAUGUAAAAAUGUAUACUAUGAGAAUGUUAGGAGAAACAUGAAUCCAUAUAUUCUGCGUGUUAGUCUUGUAUCGUAUACUUGUACUGUAUAUCUUGCAGUAUUGUAUAUAUCUUGUCCAAACGUAGCCCUGGCUGAUUGAAGAUGUCAUUACCUGACAAUCAAUAGCACACAAUAGACAUAAUCCUUAAUGAGCCGUUAACUGAUUACCCAUUCAUCCUUAAUGGAAACACGAAAACGCCGCUACUUCUUGAUGGAACCACUCAAGUUAACGUUCGCAUGACCUUUUUAAGGCGUAUCGUUCUUGAAAUCUUGAUUGAAAAGUUUGAAUGUGACAGUGAUGAAAGGAAAGCGUCACCGCAUGCUUUAACCACCAACCUGCUCUCAUCCAGCAUGCUUGUUGCUUUCCCGGUGUUUAUUUAUUCAUGUGCCUCCACCACGCCAAGGUGCAGACCCGCCAUGACCGUGUCUAAGCGAUCCUGUAUGCAGCGUGCAGCCGUAUAGUCCCUCCCCCUGCUGGCUGACACGUAGCUUUACCGCCGCCAUCGCCAUAGUGGCUAACCUUGACACGCUCACAGGUGAGGUUUUAAUGGCCGCCUGCUAAAUUCUCAUCAGAUUUGCAGGCCACAAGGCCCCUCAUUGACAUGCGAGAGUUUGUUUAUAGUCAAAUCCAUCCCUCAGGCAGGAGAUACUUUGCUGCAGGCGAAAGUGUAAGCGAUCACGUGGAUGCAAAGGUUUUGCCAAAGAGCCUUGACAUGACAAAGCACAGGUGCCCCAUUUCACGCUUUCUCCUCACCAUUUAAUCACUGCAACUACUGAUAUCUGCCUCAAACACUUUACGACACAACAAUGGCGGCUGUUUACAAAAGAUCAACGCGAGUGGGAGUGUAAAAAUAAGUCAAGCAUAAUAAUACAUUCUAAAAAAAAUCAAAUCAGUCUUAACUGUAAUGACAAAAGGUUGUGGACGUCUGCCAGUGAGCCUCAACUGGUGGAUCGGGACCCAAAAGUGGGUCAGUAGGUCAUGGGUCUAUGCCUGGGAAAAAAAAAAAAAAAAAAAAAUCUAAUGAGCCGAUGUCCGUGACUUCACCUCGUGUGCACCUCGUAUGUGCUAUUCGUUUGCAUAUGCGUGCCAUGUUUAUGGGCAGCUUUGUCAAAAAUACAGUCAUGGAACAAAUGAUCAGACCACCCUUGUUUCACCAUUCUGUCCUCUAUUCAUGCCGUGCUCUUCUCCAGCAGAUAUCUGCAACUGGGUGUCAUGGAACAAAUGAUUAGACCACCCUUGUUUCUUCAGUUUAUUGAUCCAUUUUAAUGCCUGGUACGACUAAAGGUACAUUUGUUUGGACAAAUAUAACGAUGAUAACAGAUAUAGCGCAUAAGAGUUGAAUUUAAGAGCUGGUAUCUAGCAACUUCCAUGCUUUCCUUGAUAAUAACCAAAAUCACUUACGUUUUUGCACAAAUAGCUAUAGCAUUGCACUGCCAAAAGUCUAACUCUUAUGAUUGGAACGUGACAAUAAUAAUAUAAUGACUUUCUUUGCAGUUGGACCUCGCUUAUUUUUUUUAUUUGACUAUUUUGCUUGUGUAAACAGAAGUUAAGCACAGCAUGGUUUGUUCUAAGUCCAAAUGUCUAUAAAUGUUUAAGCUUUUUUCAAAUGGUCCUUUUUUUUCCCAUUUUUCCAAGUGUAUGGAUGAUUGAUAGCCGAGGUUUGUUGAAUGACGUGUGUUUGCUGCGGCGUGUGCCAAACAGUCAGCACUUCAUUCUGGAAUCAAACCAGACACCAGUGGUGACCACUCUACCGUCACUAAUAGCUAAGAUGGACACUGAGGUUAUAUCCGUGUUUCUUUUGUUUUGUUCCGGAGUUGACUUUCAUUCACAAAAAAGAGCAUGACAGCAUAAACUGCCUCCGUCCUAAAGCAGCGAGUGCAAAGCUAACAAUUAGUCACGCCUCAUUCUGCCAAGGUUAUUGGACUAAUUACUCGCUACAGAUGCAGGUAGUUAUGCUAAUGGGAACGAUCGGCGGAAAGGUCGCUCCUCGUCCUUACCUGGCGACCACACGGUCAUAGGUCAAGGAUGUUGAAUUAUGUUGAGCAUGCUGCGACAUGGAGCUCAUAUAUUUGACACUUUCCGUGUCUUGGAAAGGUCAGUGUGUGUGUGUGUGUGUGUGUGUGUGUGUGUGUGUGUGUGAGAGCGAAUGCUGCACAUUUAUUGAAGCUGUUUUAUUAGAAGGCUGUCCUAUUUACACCUUUAUAUGUGUCAGUUUGAACAUACAGUACAGUAUAAUAAAAAUAUAUCUAUACGUAAUAUAUUUCAAUAAAUCAAUAAUGAUUUCAUUUUCUGUAUUGUUUCAUGUAGACUACAGUAUGUGCCUGAUAUCAAUUUAUCAUGUUAUAAUAAAUAAUAGAACAUAUUACUGAAUAAAUGGUAUAAUAAUUGUACUAAAUAACAUAUUUUAAAAACGUCAUAUAAACAUCCUCGUUAUGUUCAUAUUUGAACUUUUUUUAAAUUAUUUAAUUCAAUUUGAUGUAACUGUGCCACUGGUCGCCCUCCAUUUUAUUAGAUUUUCUUUUCCUAUACCAGAAAUUAGUCAGUUACUAUGUCAAGCUGUGGCCACUUCAAAAAACAAAAACAAAAUUAUAUUAACUGUACAGUAAGUGUUUCUCACUUGUUUGCAUUUUUAGCUGUCUUGAAAUGCAGAAAACAAUGAAUGAAUACAUAGAACAUGAUUUCAUAAAUACACUCCUGAUCACAAUUUUAAGAUCAGUUGAAAAUUGCCAGAAUUUACAUUUUGCACCGUUUGAUUUUAAGGAGGUUAGAAGUCCAGCUUCUAAAUUUAAAAAGAAGAAAUGGGAGCAAGACAAAAAAAAAAAUUAGUAAGCAAUUUAAACAAGCAUUAAAGUGAAAUAGACCUGUUCAACAGCUGAUCAAACGUUUAAGACCAUUUUUGUAAAUGUCCCUUGCCAUCCACCCCCAAAUGUUCUCUUUGGAUUUAGAUCAGGGGUACAUGCAGGGUCCAAAAGAGUGAGGCUAUUCCUCUGGAAGAAGUCCUUUGUCAGACGUUACCACAUCGACGUGGGCCUUCAGGCAUGAGGGAUGCCCCCUGCAACAUCUCCACAUAGCUGCCGUUUGACGCCCCUGUACAACCUGAAGCUCCUUUGUUCUACAAAAGGAAAAGCACCCCAGAUCAUGAUGGACCUCCCUCCACUGUGCCGUGUGGGAAACAUCUCAGGUGGGAUCUGCUUGUCAUGCCAGUAACGUUGGCAUCCAUCAGGACUGUCAAGGUUACAUUUUUUCUCAUCAGAGAAGAAAACUUUAUUCCACCUUUCAAUGUCCCAUGUUUGAUGCUCUUGUGCAAAUUCCAAAAAAGACCUUUGAAGACAUUUUUUCUUCUUCAACGGCUUCUCUCGCAGAUGCCGUCUGAUGGUUAGUGCACUCUGCACCAGUAACAAACUUCAUUUGGGCCCAGGAUGGUCCCGUGUCUUGAUGGACAUCAAAUGGGAUCAUGCAUCUCAAAUGUCUUACUGCGUCCAACGUCAGCAGCAAUGGCGCGUUACGAGAGGCCUGAAUUAUGCAGCUCAACAAUCCGACUUCGUUCAAAGCAUUUUUGCUUCGUUCAAAGCAUUUUUGCCAUCAAGAGAUCAUGACAGUGUGAAUGCCUGACAGGAAAUGGGAGGGAAUCUACAUUUUUGCCAAGAUUUUGGCUUUGAAAGGCUGUGGUCUUAAACUUUUGAUCAGCUGAUGAACAGCCUAUUUCACUUUAAUGCUUGUGUGCAAUAAAGCAUGUGUCAAGCCUGCGCUUCCCCUGCAAAAUGGGAAUUCUUGCAAUUUUUCAACUGGUCUUAAAAUUUUGAUCAGGAGUGUAUUAUAAUAAUUGCAUUAAAUUCUAUCUAAAAAUAACAGCUACUGGAUGUAAACCUCCUCUUCAUAUUGUUAAUAUAUAGAUAUAUAUUUUUUUAAAUGUAAUU